GACGAACGCUGGCGGCGUGCUUAACACACGCAAGUCGAACGAUGAAGCCGGAGCUUGCUCUGGUGAAUUAGUGGCGAACGGGUGAGUAACACGUGAGUAACCUGCCCUUGACUCUGGGAUAACUGCGGGAAACUGUAGCUAAUACCGGAUACGACCCUCGGAGGCAUCUCCUGGGGGUGGAAAGAAUUUCGGUCAAGGAUGGACUCGCAGCCUAUCAGCUAGUUGGUGAGGUAAAGGCUCACCAAGGCGACGACGGGUAGCCGGCCUGAGAGGGUGACCGGCCACACUGGGACUGAGACACGGCCCAGACUCCUACGGGAGGCAGCAGUGGGGAAUAUUGCACAAUGGGCGCAAGCCUGAUGCAGCAACGCCGCGUGAGGGAUGACGGCCUUCGGGUUGUAAACCUCUUUUAGCAGGGAAGAAGCGAAAGUGACGGUACCUGCAGAAGAAGCACCGGCUAACUACGUGCCAGCCGCCGCCGUAA
rnacentral:rRNA from 1 species